GCACCCGCUACAUUGGAAGCGUGGAGCCUUAACCACUGGACAGCCAGGUAAAUCCCCUGGCUUCGUUUCGUCCUCUCCUGCCUUGUGAAUUAGCUGGUGUCAUUCUGUCAUUCACAUUAUCCCCAUUUUACAGAUGAGGAAACUAAGGCCUGGAGUUAAAUAACAGGAAUACGCCAAGGAGCACCCGACUAACGAGGGCUAGCCUCUGCGCUUCUCCCUUUGCACCACCCAAUUCCCGCUCCCCGCUUUUGGUAUACGUGGCACGGGGCCCCCAGUUCUCCCCUCCCCAGAGGCCAGUGCAGAGGAGGCGGCCACCACAGGGCCCUGGACCACCUUGUGAGCAGAGCCGCCACCGCCCUGGGCUGUGCCCUGAGGGACCAGAGAGGCACACAACUGACCUUGAUGAUUUUGAGUUUGUGCUUUGGGCUGGUCCUGAAGAAGACAGACACCUGGAUACAGAGACGGGAGAGGGCCGAGCAUCAGUGAAUGAGGAGGUGGCACCUUCACCCCAUGCCCCUCGGUGGCGAGCCUCGGGAGGACCCCACCUUCCCGACGCGUUCGGCCAGCUCGCCCUGCUCGGCGCUUUCCACCUCUUCCCCGGACAUGGCGCUCAGCUUCCCGUUGCACAGGCCUAUGUUUCUUCCUGCAAGGUGUGGACAGUCCCUUCUGAGGGCCCGAGACUGUGGUCCCUGCACUUGCCCCUCACUCCACCUACCUGACAUCAGGCCCCGCCUUGGCCACAGGGAAAAACAAAACCACGGUGACCCCAAUGAGAGAGCCCCUGCUAUGGUAUCUGACCUUAAUUCCAUCCACAGAAUGAACUGGCAACAGAGGCCUCUUAUCCCCACUCUAAAGAUGAGGAAACAGAGAGCGGUGACUUUCCCAAGGUCAUAGGGCUAGUAAGUGCUAAUACUGGACCUGACAUGGUUCUUUCUGUCUGAUUCCAGAGUCUGUGAUCUUUCCAUGGUGCCAGGCUGCCUCAAGACAGAGGGGGAAGAAACCCAAGGUGUGGCAACCGUGCUAACAGUAAUAAUAGGAGGAAUAACAGGAGGAAGGUUGCUAGCCCUCUGCUGAUGAAAAGCCUGAGGGUCAGAGUGGCUCAAUGAUUUGCCAAGGGCACACCGCUACUGGCAGAAGCCAGACUGGAAGUGUGCACGGGCAGUGAUGCUGCCUGUGGAGAUGAGGAGAACCUGCCAACAUUUUAGAGACAAACACCCACUCGGAAGGUGGGAUGCUGGUCCUCGAACCUCAGAAUCUCUUCCAAGCACGUGGGAGGCCGUCUCCAGAGCAUCUCCCGUUAUCAUUUUCACGGACAAGCCCGAAUCAGAGAGAACGCGGACCGCUUCCUCCACGCCAGCCCUCGGAGGGUCGAUGAUUCCGAUGAGACCCAGGAACGUCAGCUCCCCCAGCUCAGGCCCAGAAGCCAGGGCCAGCACUGCGGACAGAGCAAGACCCACAGAAGGUUCAGAAGAUUUUCGUCCCCAGUCAGCCCCAGCCCCACCGUGUCCCAGACCCUCUUCUGUCCGCGAGGGGCUUGGGCACUAAGUCCCUGGACCACAAAGGGGAGGGACGAUCUUCCCAGUGGUCGUCAGGCCCGUGCAGGGCAGCGGUUGUUGACGGCUCACCCACGAUGGAGAGCAGGGCAAGUAGCAACAACCUGCCCAGCGGGAGACGGGCCUCUGUCUGCUGGUGGUGCAGUCCCCACGGGGAGUGGCCACGAGCACACCUGUGGGCUGGCACAUCAGGGCACAUUUCUGAUGGCCUAUCUGUCAUUGCUCUGCCCUCCUCUGUCAUUGCCAGCAGACUCGGGGCGACAGCUACUAAGGUCAAGAAAGACAUGCAGGAGGCAACACGGGUCAGAGGACUCUGUUUCAGGGGCACAGAAGCCAGACCCGGCUCUUGGGGACAGGUGCUCUGAGAGGGGGUGGUGUGAGAACUGACCUUACUGAUACUGGAGGGGAGCUAUGGCCAACAAGUUCCAGCUGUGACCCCUCAGUCAUGACACUGUACCAGUGAUGCAGGGGGGUGUGCCAGCGAUGCGGGUACCAUUCCCCCCUUUCUCAAAGCAGCCCUCCCUGCCCUGCCAAGCUCAGCUCUGUCCCGACAUGUCCUCACCUUAUAGGCUUGUCAGUUUAUAAUUACUGUCCCCUGAAGGGGAAAACUAGGCCAACUGAAACCAAUACAGGAAGCCAACGCUUCUCACUUUCCCCUGAGGGAAUACAUGUGUUCCAGAGUGUUUUCAGACAUUUUCUCCGAAAACGGACAGGCUGACAUAUGACACUACGGGAAACAUGAGGUUUAAUGUUCAGCCCAUCGGGGAAGGCGUUGGCCCUGGUGCAGAAAAUUGGAAAUGGCCAAGGAAUGAAAUGUCUGUAUUAAUUUUCAAGAGCUUUGUGUUUUCCUGACAGCGAGCCGUGAGCAGGACGACCAAUCGGGAAAAUCAUUGUUUCAGGGGCGGCCUGUUCACCUGUCUUAGAAAACUCAGAACCUCUUCUUGCACGCAUGAGCUGCGUCUGGGAUAACGGGUGUCAUCUGGCGGCUGAGAUGGGUGGGGGUCUCCCUAUCUUUCAUCUGCCCAAGAGAGUCCACCCUGGCUUUGCUUGCAUUAGCAUCCUGCCUGACACCGCUGUGAUCAUCACUGUGUUGACUCGGGACCCUGCGUUAAUACACUUGAGAAGUCAGUGUUAGUUGCAAACUUAGAGCUUGGGGCUUGGGACCACAGGCACUGACCCCGCAGGCCGAGCGACCCCAUCCUCUUCUCCUCCUGCUGGCAGAAGGCUCGCUGCUGGGGCGUCAGCGGCAGGGGGAUACCCCCAUGGUUGUACAUGGUACAGUAACGAAUCACUUCCUCGAAGGCCCCCUUCAUGAAGUAGAUGUCUUCCUGCUCCUUGGAAAAGACAAAAGGAAAAAAAUCGGCUGACACUGGCUGCUUCAGCUCUUGGUGACCGUCACCUCAUCCACACAGAGAUGUUCACGGCGGGGUUAUUUAUCCCGGACCGUCACUGUUCACCAAUACAGGACAGGUUAGAGAAGUUACAGGAAAUCCAUGUGAUGGAAUACCUUGCAGCCCAGAGAGGGGUGAGGCCGAUCUCUGACCCAACCCAGGCCUGCCCUACAUCGGACUCCCUGGUUAAUGUCACUCAGAGUAUCUGCACUGGUUAUAGCCCAGCCAUUGCUGUGUCUUCAAGUGUGUGACUGACCACUAGAUGUCUAUUUCAGGGAGACUUCCAAGCAAGGCAGGCACCAUGAACUUGGCCCAUAAGAAUGAACCCAAAUGAGCAGCUGACCCGUUUCCUCUGCAUUUGUUAAGCGCCAGGUGCCUUGUCAGUGUGGGUCACACUGUAACCCCGGCACGAGCGCAGCGCCUUCCUGCUUGCAGUGGGCAGCGAAUGAGCUUGUGCAAACUGACACGGAAAGCUGUCCAAGACAGCACUUAAGGGAAGAGAGCAAAUUACCCACACUGUAUACGGCAUGACCUUCUUUUGAAACUACCACCCCCCGUGUUGCAUUCGUACAUUUAGAACCUGGAACACUCUAUCUCUGACUGCUAAGGGGUGUCAGCA